GGGCGUGUGGUCUAGUGGUAUGAUUCUCGCUUUGGGUUAAGAUCAUUACUUGACUGGAAACAGUUUAGUAGCUGACCAAGCAUGCGAGAGGCCCUGGGUUCAAUUCCCAGCUCGCCCC